AUGCGAUGUCACGAAAAGCCAACCAGAGAGAGUCCAGAGAGGAACCAGAGAGGAACCAGAGAGAAACCAGAGAGAACCAGAGAGGAACCAGAGAGGAACCAGAGAGAGUCCAGAGAGGAACCAGAGAGGAACCAGAGAGGAACCAGAGAGGAACCAGAGAGAGUCCAGAGAGGAACCAGAGAGGAACCAGAGAGGAACCAGAGAGGAACCAGAGAGGAACCAGAGAGGAACCAGAGAGAGACCAGAGAGGAACCAGAGAGGAACCAGAGAGAGUCCAGAGAGGAACCAGAGAGGAACCAGAGAGAGUCCAGAGAGGAACCAGAGAGGAACCAGAGAGAAACCAGAGAGAGUCCAGAGAGGAACCAGAGAGGAACCAGAGAGAGUCCAGAGAGGAACCAGAGAGAAACCAGAGAGAGUCCAGAGAGGAACCAGAGAGGAACCAGAGAGAGUCCAGAGAGGAACCAGAGAGAAACCAGAGAGAGUCCAGAGAGGAACCAGAGAGAAACCAGAGAGAGUCCAGAGAGGAACCAGAGAGAAACCAGAGAGGAACCAGAGAGGAACCAGAGAGGAACCAGAGAGAGGAACCAGAGAGGAACCAGAGAGGAACCAGAGAGAAACCAGAGAGGAACCAGAGAGAGGAACCAGAGAGGAACCAGAGAGGAACCAGAGAGAGGAACCAGAGAGGAACCAGAGAGGAACCAGAGAGAGGAACCAGAGAGAGGAACCAGAGAGAGGAACCAGAGAGAGGAACCAGAGAGGAACCAGAGAGAGGAACCAGAGAGAGGAACCAGAGAGGAACCAGAGAGAGGAAACCAGAGAGGAAACCAGAGAGGAAACCAGAGAGAGGAACCAGAGAGGAACCAGACAGAGGAACCAGAGAGAGGAACCAGAGAGAGGAACCAGAGAGGAACCAGAGAGGAACCAGAGAGGAACCAGAGAGGAACCAGAGAGGAACCAGAGAGGAACCAGAGAGAGGAACCAGAGAGGAACCAGAGAGAGGAACCAGAGAGAGGAACCAGAGAGGAACCAGAGAGAGGAACCAGAGAGGAACCAGAGAGGAACCAGAGAGGAACCAGAGAGGAACCAGAGAGGAAACCAGAGAGAGGACCAGAGAGGAACCAGAGAGGAACCAGAGAGGAACCAGAGAGGAACCAGAGAGGAACCAGAGAGGAACCAGAGAGGAACCAGAGAGGAACCAGAGAGGAACCAGAGAGGAACCAGAGAGAGGAACCAGAGAUGAACCAGAGAGGAACCAGAGAUGAACCAGAGAGGAACCAGAGAGGAACCAGAGAGGAACCAGAGAGGAACCAGACAGAGUCCUACCAGAGCGUUUCUCUUCUCAGGCACAAUGACUCAACGUCGUCCGACUGGAGGUUUCAACCCUCAGUGUUUCUACUGUAA
ensembl:lncRNA